UAUGCAUUUACGCUCCUUAUUAACACACGGCUGGAGGGCGAUUUAACGUUAGUGAUGGGGACUUUAAAUAUGGCUUGUGCACGUCAGCUGGGAAGGCAUCAUAUGUGACGUCAUGUCCUUGUUGUCAUUCCGGCUCGAUGGGCAAGUGCUAGAGAGUGGACGGGGAAAUUAACCGGUAUGCACUCGGCUGCGCUCCUGGUUGUGUAAAACUUCGGUGUGGGGAUGAAUUCCGCGAUGUGUUAAUACAGUGCUGUUGCAGGUGUCUUCCAUAUGCCUGUAUGACGUAAUGGUGGGUUGUUUGUUGCUGCGGUCAGCUGCUUGCGAGACGCUGGAAAUCGAGAUCCAGACCUAACAUAAACUUGCUGUUCCAACAUAAACUCGCUGUUAAAUUACCAAUUAAUGCUGUGACUGCU